rnacentral:rRNA from 1 species
UACGUAGGGGGCAAGCGUUGUCCGGAUUUAUUGGGCGUAAAGAGCGUGUAGGCGGCCAGGUAGGUCUGCUGUGAAGACUCGAGGCUUAACCUCGAGCUGUCGGCGGAAACCAUCUGGCUAGAGUCCGGAAGAGGAGAAUGGAAUUCCCGGUGUAGCGGUGAAAUGCGUAGAGAUCCGGAAGAACACCGGUGGCGAAGGCGGUCUGCUGGGCAGUUGCUGACACUGAGGCGCGACAGCGUGGGGAGCAAACAGG